UACAGAGGUCCCAAGCGUUGUUCGGAUUCAUUGGGCGUAAAGGGUGCGUAGGUGGGCUAGUAAGUCCGUGGAUGAAAUCCCCGACGCUUAACUCGGGAACUGCCGUGGAUACUAUUAGUCUUGAAUAUCGUGGAGGUAAGCGGAAUAUGUCAUGUAGCGGUGAAAUGCUUAGAUAUGACAUAGAACACCGAUAGCGGAGGCAGCUUACUACGCGAUAAUUGACGCUGAUGCACGAAAGCGUGGGGGAUCAAACAGG
rnacentral:rRNA from 1 species